rnacentral:rRNA from 1 species
GAUGAACGCUAGCGGCAGGCUUAAUACAUGCAAGUCGAGGGGCAGCACGGGUAGCAAUACCUGGUGGCGACCGGCAAACGGGUGCGGAACACGUACGCAACCUUCCCAUAACUGGUGAAUAGCCUUCCGAAAGGGAGAUUAAUACACCGUAACAUAACGAGUAGGCAUCUACUUGUUAUUAUAGGCUUCGGCCGGUUUUGGAUGGGCGUGCGCCUGAUUAGGUAGUUGGCGGGGUAACGGCCCACCAAGCCUGCGAUCAGUAACUGGUGUGAGAGCACGACCAGUCACACGGGCACUGAGACACGGGCCCGACUCCUACGGGAGGCAGCAGUAAGGAAUAUUGGUCAAAUGGACGAAAGUCUGAACCAGCCAAUGCCGCGUGAAGG